GGCUAAGAAGCAGCAAUGAGCAGAAGGUGUUUGUGCUGUGAAGAGCUGCCCCUGAGGAAUAUCACUGAGAAGACUGGGAAAGAACUACUAUAGACCAUCAGUCUGCAAGGAUUUAAGUACCUAUGGGAACUUGAAGACUCUAAGGUGUAAUUUAGCAAGGAUUAUGAUCUAAGGGAGUAUUAGAGCCUGAUCCAGCUACUUCAGAGGCCUGCCCUAGAUUUUGGUGAUCCGUGUACCAGAGCCAUGCUAAGGGGAUUAAAAUGCUGCCUUCAGUGCUUGUUGAAGAGCAGGUCAGAAACAUUUGUGUUGGAUGAUUUUAAAAAAAGAACAUAUCUUCUUCCUGGCCACUCCUUCCUGGCGGAGCAUGAGAAGUGAGGUCACCUCUCCUCUAACACGGUGUAAUGCAGCACAGUAAGUGAUCAGUCACCAGAAUGUCCCAAAGUAAACUGGCAUUGCCAAAGAAAAUCCCUCAGCACCGACCUUGUAACAGAGCUUUGCUCAUGGGUGUGAAAUCAGAGCAAUUAAAGCAGCAAUUUCAGUGGUUAACUUCCAAAUGAAGACUCUGAGAGACUGGAAGGAUGGCACUGAGAAGUGUUGUGGUUUCACCUUGAGUUAAUCAAGUAUGUUUGAGUGUUCAGCUGAAUGAGAAAUGGUGAUUUUCCUACAAUAUCUCUGCAUUCAGACUGAUGGUCCUCCCUGCUUCAAACCCUCUGUCACUCUUCCAUUAAUGACACUCA